rnacentral:rRNA from 1 species
CAGUCGCCGCGGUAAUACGAAGGGGGCUAGCGUUGCUCGGAAUUACUGGGCGUAAAGGGAGCGUAGGCGGACUGUUUAGUCAGAGGUGAAAGCCCAGGGCUCAACCUUGGAAUUGCCUUUGAUACUGGCAGUCUUGAGUACGGAAGAGGUAUGUGGAACUCCGAGUGUAGAGGUGAAAUUCGUAGAUAUUCGGAAGAACACCAGUGGCGAAGGCGACAUACUGGUCCGUUACUGACGCUGAGGCUCGAAAGUGUGGGGAGCAAACAGGAUUAGAUACCCCGGUAGUCCCUGUCUCUUAUAC